GACGAACGCUGGCGGCGUGCCUAAUACAUGCAAGUUGAGCGCUGAAGGUUGGUCCUUGUACCAACUGGAUGAGCAGCGCACGGGUGAGUAACGCGUGGGGAAUCUGCCUUUGAGCGGGGGACAACAUUUGGAAACGAAUGCUAAUACCGCAUAAAAACUUUAAACACAAGUUUUAAGUUUGAAAGAUGCAAUUGCAUCACUCAAAGAUGAUCCCGCGUUGUAUUAGCUAGUUGGUGAGGUAAAGGCUCACCAAGGCGAUGAUACAUAGCCGACCUGAGAGGGUGAUCGGCCACAUUGGGACUGAGACACGGCCCAAACGCCUACGGGAGGCAGCAGUAGGGAAUCGGCGGCAAUGGACGAAAGUCUGACCGAGAAACGCGGCGUGAGGGAAGAGGGAUGUCGGAUCGGAAAACUCUGUUGGUAGGGAAGAACGUUGGUGAGAGUGGAAAGCUCAUCAAGUGACGGUAACUACCCAGAAAGCGACGGCUAACUACGUG
rnacentral:rRNA from 1 species